CUGGUGGACAGAGAAGAAGAAAAUGUUUUUAAUUCUGAAGAAUGUGACAAGCAUCGACACUGGAAUAUACAAGUUUUGAGUUGCAUCAGGUGCUUCAAGAUGUAAAAAGAGAGCCAUUAUUGACUCUGAUCCAAUCAGAACCAUCCGUCUGCAGGUUACAGACCCAGAUGCGAUUGUGGUAACAGUGCACCCGGGAGAUGAUGUCAUUCUGCCAUGUUGGGCCGCUGAUCCCUCCAUCAGAGCUUUAGAGUGGAGCAGACCUGACCUGAAGCUACCAGAGUACGUCCUCUUUUACAGAGAUGGUCGCUUGGAUCCAACCUACCAGCAUCCAUCCUUUAAGGACAGGGUGGACCUGGUGGACAGAGAUCUGAAGGACGGAGACGUGUCUUUAAUUCUGAAGAAUGUGAGCAGCAUGGACAGUGGAACAUAUGAGUGUCGAGUUGCACCGGAUAGUUCAAGACGUAAAAAGAGAACCAUCAUUGACUCUGAGCCAAUCACGAUCAUCCAUCUGCAUGUUACAGGUUCUGAGGAUGGAAACUCCUCUCCUGUAGGCCGAUACCUUGGAGUAGCAGGUGGACUGCUUCUUGUAGCUGUUGCAGUGGUUGGUGUCCUGAUAUAUACAACACAAAAGAACUGAUCAGGACAGUCUUUUUGUGGUCUAAAAUCACACCAAGAAAUUUAUUUUCAUAUAAUCUUUCAAUACUUAUGUUGUCUUAUUUUUUCAUUUAUUUUUUUAAACCUCUUUUUAUUGAGAAAUAUAGAUUAUAAACAUAGACGCAACGGUACAAAUAAAUUAGUUUUUUCUUUUUCUUACACACAAAACACCCCCCUCCCAGCCCACCCCAUCCCAUCCCGACUGGACCAAAUAAGAAAGUAUUUACAAUACAGACUAUUAUGAAGAAAUACAUACUCAGAAUUGAAACAUGAAUAAACAACAAGAACACCAAGAAGACCAAAGAGCUAAUUGUGGACUUCAGGAAGUCUAAAGCUGGCACACACCCCCCCCAUCCUCAUCAACGGGACUGAGGUGGAACGUGUCAAAAGCUUUAAGUUUCUGGGUAUUGUAAUGGGAAAAAUUACAUUUAAGGAUAAUGCCUUAUAUUUUUAUGUUUAUUUCUACUUUAAUUCUCUCACAUUAUUGAAAGAAACGGAGGGACGAAGAACUCUUGGACAGGACCGACAGCAUCAGUCACACCUGCAUCGGGUGGAAAGACCAACGAGUACGUGAGAAAACCAUGUUUGAAGCGUUUGUCUGCAUGUUACAACAUGAUGGUGGGCAACAUAUGGAGCGCGGACCCAAAAAAGGCCGCUCACACGAAGGAUGUGGUCGAGCCAGAGAGGCCCAGGCGGGUACCGUGGGCAAAAUGAUCAGCCCAACAACCCAGACCAGUGUUGGUACUGCAAGGACUUUGGACAUUGGGUAUGUAACUGCCCGUAGAAAAAGCAAAAAAACCUGAGAAAGAGAACAACACCUGUCCCUCUGUUUGACUGAGUCCAACAGCUGAUGAGGAAGGUAGUGCUGAAAAACACACACACACCCGAAACAAUGGUAAAGAUUGUUUCCAACGAUUUGUCAAGUGCUUGAGGACGAACCUCUGACAAUUGAAGAACAUGGAACACGCUAUUGGCAAAAGAAACUUCCACUACAGUAUCCACAUCUCUGAGGACCUCUCCUGGACCCUCAACACCUCUACCCUGAUCAAGAAGGCUCACCAGUGUCUCUUAUUUCUGAGGAGACUCAAGCAGGUCCACCUGUCUCCUCAGAUCCUGGUGAACUUCUACCGCUGUACCAUCGAGAGCAUCCUCACCAGUUGUGUCACAGUUUGGUAUGGCAACUGCUCUGCCCAUGACCGGAAAGAACUGCACAGGGUGGUGAAAACAAUUUGCACUACCCUACCCCACCCAUACCCACUCUAUGUAUUUAUUUACAGAUGUACAUACUGUAAUUACACCUAUACAUAGCUAUAUUCUACUGCUCUUCAUACUAUUCAUCCUGCACAUACACUUAUUUUUACUAUUCUUAUAAUGUUGCCACACUGCACGAAGCUGUAAAUACUGUACAUAUCU